GACGAACGCUGGCGGCGUGCUUAACACAUGCAAGUCGAGCGGAAAGGCCCUUCGGGGUACUCGAGCGGCGAACGGGUGAGUAACACGUGAGCAACCUGCCCUUAGCUUUGGGAUAACCCUCGGAAACGGGGGCUAAUACCGAAUAUUCACUGCUGGACGCAUGUUUGGUGGUGGAAAGUUUUUCGGCUAGGGAUGGGCUCGCGGCCUAUCAGCUUGUUGGUGGGGUGAUGGCCUACCAAGGCGACGACGGGUAGCCGGCCUGAGAGGGCGACCGGCCACACUGGGACUGAGACACGGCCCAGACUCCUACGGGUGGCAG
rnacentral:rRNA from 1 species